GACCCGGUGGUGAAAAUGCUAUCACGCCCACUCCCUAUCAGAAAGUUCGUGGUACGUUUAGGUGGGAGUCCCUUGUUCGAACCAAGGCCGGGUCA